UACGUAGGGUGCAGGCGUUAACCGGAAUUACUGGGCGUAAAGCGUGCGCAGGCGGUUUGUUAAGUCAGGUGUGAAAUCCCCGGGCUUAACCUGGGAACUGCGGUUGUAACUGGCAAGCUUGAGUGUGGCAGAGGGGGGUGGAAUUCCACGUGUAGCAGUGAAAUGCGUAGAGAUGUGGAGGAACACCGAUGGCGAAGGCAGCCCCCUGGGCUAACACUGACGCUCAUGCACGAAAGCGUGGGGAGCAAACAGG
rnacentral:rRNA from 1 species